rnacentral:rRNA from 1 species
UCUGGCUCAGGACGACGCUGGCGGCGUGCCUAAUACAUGCAAGUCGAACGGCUUUUCUAUGGAAGCUUGCUUCCACUGAGAAGAUAGUGGCGAACGGGUGAGUAACACGUGGGUAACCUGCCCAUAAGAGGGGGAUAACAUCCGGAAACGGGUGCUAAUACCGCAUAGUUUUCUUGAUCGCAUGAUCGGGAAAGGAAAGACGGCCUUUGUGCUGUCGCUUAUGGAUGGACCCGCGGCGUAUUAGUUAGUUGGUGAGGUAACGGCUCACCAAGACGAUGAUACGUAGCCGACCUGAGAGGGUGAUCGGCCACAUUGGGACUGAGACACGGCCCAAACUCCUACGGGAGGCAGCAGUAGGGAAUCUUCCGCAAUGGACGAAAGUCUGACGGAGCAACGCCGCGUGAGUGAAAGAAGGUUUUCGGAUCGUAAAACUCUGUUGUCAGAGAAGAACAAGUUGGAGAGUAACUGCUCCAGCCUUGACGGUAUCUGACCAGAAAGCCACGGCUAACUACGUGCCAGCCGCCGC